rnacentral:tRNA from 1 species
UCCCUGGUAGUCCAGUGGCUAAGACUCCACACUCCCAUUACAGGGGACCCAGGUUCAAUCCCUGGUCAGGGAA